rnacentral:rRNA from 1 species
ACGAACGCUGGCGGCGUGCUUAACACAUGCAAGUCGAACGGAAAGGCCCCUUUGGGGGUACUCGAGUGGCGAACGGGUGAGUAACACGUGAGUAACCUGCCCUUGACUUCGGGAUAACUUCAGGAAACUGGGGCUAAUACCGGAUAGGAAUCCUUGCUGCAUGGUGGGGGUUGGAAAGCUUCGGCGGUUUUGGAUGGACUCGCGGCUUAUCAGCUUGUUGGUGGGGUAGUGGCUUACCAAGGCUUUGACGGGUAGCCGGCCUGAGAGGGCGACCGGCCACAUUGGGACUGAGAUACGGCCCAGACUCCUACGGGAGGCAGAAGUGGGGAAUAUUGCACAAUGGGCGGAAGCCUGAUGCAGCAACGCCGCGUGCGGGAUGACGGCCUUCGGGUUGGAAACCGCGUUCAGCAGGGGCGAAGCUUGUGGUGACGGUACCUGCAGAAGAAGCACCGGCUAACUACGUG